AUUCUGCCCAUGCGGGGAAGGAUGAGAAGCUUCGACCAAGGUUCGGCUCGAGUGCCAGCGAGAGAGCGUUGCCGCAGGCAACGACCCGUAGGGCGAAGCGCGCAGCGCUGAGUAAUCCUUCCCCCACCACCA
rnacentral:sRNA from 1 species